rnacentral:lncRNA from 1 species
AUGCUGCUCUCUCCCCUCCACUCCCUCCUUUACACAUGAGGACCCUGAAUCCCAGAGGUGCAGUCAUGUACCCAAGGCCACGUACCUGCUGGUGGCAGAGCUGGGAUGGGACCCUGGGACCUUAAAGAGAGCAAGUCCAAACCCACUCCUAAGAAGCCGGUGCUGCUGAGCUGCCUACCCCUGCUCCUACAGCAAGGUGAUCCUGAGAUGCCAGGGCUGCCACCCUCCCCUGGGCUCUUGCUCUGAAUUCGAGACAUACAGGAUGCACUGUCCCUUUGCCUCUAGAGCCUCCAGUUCUAGGUCUGCAGUGGGAGGGCUGCCUUCCAGCUACACAGGGGCAAGGGAGCAGCUGCAAAUUCAGUCUCUCAGCCCAGGCAGGAAGCCUGAUGGAGUCAGGAUGGGGAUCAGUGGGGUCAGCAUUCUGGAUGGGAUAGGGGCACAGGACAGGGAGGUCAGUUCGGAUUUGGGUCCCUCUAAGGGAACUGGCCAGGGUGUGAAGCAGCCAGGUGCAGACAGGGAUAGGCUCACUAGGCGUGUGACUUUGUGACCUUGGGCAAGGCCCUGCCCUUCUCUGGGGCUCAGGCUUGCUUGUCAUCUGCAAAAAAAAUGAGGCUCGAACAGAACUCUCAGGUACUUUCUAGUUUCAUGAGUCCCUGAAUUGUGAAAAUAAAAAAUUACCACUGAGAAACCAUAUACACUUCCAGACUGGUGGCUGCCUAGCCUGGCCUCUGCUCCUUGACAGAGGGGCUGGCCCUGGUGUUUGAGCUUGUGUGCUUGAAUUGGCCUCAGGCCCACCGUGCCUUUUCUCAUCUCAGACAGUACUCUUGCUCCUUCAGUUGCCACGCUGGCUCCCACCGGCCUCUUUCCAGAUCAUGAAGGUAUUUUUCCUUCAUCAAAUUGAGAGGAAGUCCGUAGUAAAGCUGCCCGUUGACCAGGUAGUGCCGAGAGAAUCGGUAGGUCACAUGGAUUCCUAAAGGUCCCCUGAUCAGCCACAGUUUGAUUCAUGUUCUGAUGCCCUCCCAGAUGAUGCCACCAUUAGGUCUGCUGGGGCUGGGGGUGAGUCCCAGAUUGCCCUGGAUGUUAUCUGUAGAGGAUAGGAAGCGGCUGCUCUGGGGCCAGUGGCCAGUAAGGUCCCCAACCCUGGGGCCCAGCUCUCCCUUCCAGCUGAUUACAGGCUAUGGCAGGCUCCAUAACCUCCCCAAUUAGCCGGAGGCCAGGCCCAAGGCCUUUCUGAUAACCUGAGCUCCAGUGGCAGCCGCUGUGGGGCCAGCUUAUCUGGUCUCUCUUAUCCUCACCCUUCCCCCACAUACUCAAAGAGUUGCCCUGACUUCAAGCAGAUGAAUAACCAGAUUGUCCUGCAAGCUCAGCCGGCAAGUCCAGCCCUACACCCACCACUUUCCCUGCCUGGGGGAGGCCACAGCUGUUUUGCCCCUGCUGGAGGGGAAGGGCCGGGCCAGGGAGGACUCCUGACUCUGUAAGCUGCCAGCCAGUUCCCUGAAUGGUUGAGAGAGCCCCUGGCAGCAAGGUCUCUGCCACAUCCACGUGUCCUGGGGUGGUUUCAGAGGGGCUCAUGCUUCCUAGGGCAGCUGAACCCAUCCCCAGGAAGACAGGCCAUGGGCAGCAUGCACAGGUAGCCUGGUAGCACUCUCCUCCUUGUCCCUUUUUGAUUGAAACAUGGCUGUAGCUGGGGGUAGGGGCAGUGCCAGGCCCAUCAAUAAUUCAGCAAGAUGGGGAAAAGCUGCAGCUCCUCCAGCACCCCCUGCUGCUGGGGCCAGGCUAGUGUUCGCAAGCAUGCCUCAGUCUGGCAUGUGACUUCUCGCCCUGCAGGUGCCCUGGCAGGAGGGACUGGCUUAUGCCACCCUGUGCAGGAUCGUCUUCUCAGCUUACAGAGCCUAGUGUGAUUCAACAACCCUCCAUCUCUGCCCCCAACAUGCCCAACUGAUCUGGUGGAGGGAACUGAAGAUGAAGGCCUCUCAGGCACCAUGGAUGGGAUGGGUGUGUGUGAAGGGGGCAGGGUCCCCAGGAGCUGCCCCAGGUCUGGCUGGACAGUUGCACGGGAAGUCCUGUUUGUGAACUCAACGUUUCCACGGCUUUUCCAUUAAACUUUACCCCAAAUCACACCUGGCUCUGUGGGUUUCCUUCCAUUCUCCAAGGCCUCCCUGGGGUCUCUGGGAAGUGUGGGCCAGGGAAGGGGGCAAAGGACUAGCAUUCGUCUCCUUCCUGCUCAAUGCACCAUUUUUUCUCCCUGUUCCUGUCUCUGUUGCCACUUACUUUAGGUCCGGAAGUGGUGGUGGUGGGGCGGGGGGACAAAAUCAGGAACGUGUCAUCUGAGGGUUCCGGCCAGGUUUCAUGAGAUACCCACCUUCACCUGACCACCCUUCCAUCUUCUGAGUUAAAAAGAGGCAAUUACAACAAGGUGCCCCCCAGAUGAGGCUUUGCCAGACUCUCCCCUUGACAGCAACCCACCAGCACAUGGCAAGCCCUGAUCCCCAGGGAGGAGGGUCCAACCCUGUGGCACCCCAAGAACUCAUUGCCUCUGGUAACAGGCAAGAUGCUUAGAGAAUGGGCUUCUUAAAUCAGGCCCCAUCCAAAUUCCAGGACAAAAGUUCUUCCCAUUCCAAUCCUCCACUGACUCCUUCUGCCCCCAAGUUGCACAUGAAAGGGGGUGUUGGGAUCCUGGGCACUCAGGCCAUA